UACGUAGGGUACGAGCGUUGUCCGGAAUUAUUGGGCGUAAAGAGCUCGUAGGCGGUUUGUCGCGUCGACUGUGAAAACCUUGGGCUUAACUCAGGGCUUGCUUUCGAUACGGGCAGACUAGAGGUAUGCAGGGGAGAACGGAAUUCCCGGUGUAGUGGUGGAAUGCGUAGAUAUCGGGAGGAACACCAGUGGCGAAGGCGGCUCACUGGACUGGUACUGACGGCUGAGGCGCGAAAGCGUGGGGAGCAAACGGG
rnacentral:rRNA from 1 species